rnacentral:rRNA from 1 species
GAAAUGAUAGCUAAUACCGGAUUAAAUAUAGAUUCGUUUCUAUAUUAAAAGGAGCCUUUAAAGCUUCGCUUAAAGAUGGGCCUGCGGCGUAUUAGCUAGUUGGUGAGGUAAUGGCUUACCAAGGCGACGAUGCGUAGCCGAACUGAGAGGUUGAUCGGCCACAUUGGGACUGAGACACGGCCCAAACUCCUACGGGAGACAGCAGUUAGGAAUAUUCGUCAAUGGGGGAAACCCUGAACGAGCAAUGCCGCGUGAACGAUGAAGGCCCUAUGGGUUGUAAAGUUCUGUUGCAUGGGACGAACGGCUAGGAUAGGAAAUGAUCUUAGUGUGACGGUACCAUGCCAGAAAGCUCCGGCUAACUACGUGCCAGCAGCCGCGGUAAUACGUAGGGAGCGAGCGUUAUCCGGAUUUAUUGGGCGUAAAGGGUGCGUAGGCGGUUUGUUAAGUAUGAGAUUAAAGCCUGAGGCUUAACCUCAGUUCGUUUCAUAAACUGGUAGACUUGAGUAUGGCAGAGGUAAACGGAAUUUCUAGUGUAACGGUUAAAUGCGUAGAUAUUAGAAGGAACACCAGUGGCGAAGGCGGUUUACUGGGCCAUAACUGACGCUGAGGCACGAAAGCGUGGGGAGCAAAUAGGAUUAGAUACCCUAGUAGUCCACGCCGUAAACGAUGAGUACUAAGUGUUGGG